rnacentral:rRNA from 1 species
AUUAGCUAGUUGGUGAGGUAACGGCUCACCAAGGCGACGAUGCGUAGCCGACCUGAGAGGGUGAUCGGCCACAUUGGAACUGAGACACGGUCCAGACUCCUACGGGAGGCAGCAGUGGGGAAUAUUGCACAAUGGGCGAAAGCCUGAUGCAGCAACGCCGCGUGAGUGAUGAAGGCCUUCGGGUCGUAAAGCUCUUUGAUCAGGGAUGAUAAUGACAGUACCUGAAAAACAAGCCACGGCUAACUACGUGCCAGCAGCCGCGGUAAUACGUAGGUGGCGAGCGUUGUCCGGAAUCACUGGGCGUAAAGGAUGCGUAGGUGGAUACUUAAGUGGGAUGUGAAAUCCCCGGGCUCAACCCGGGAACUGCAUUCCAAACUGGGUAUCUAGAGUGCAGGAGAGGAAAGCGGAAUUCCUAGUGUAGCGGUGAAAUGCGUAGAUAUUAGGAGGAACACCAGUGGCGAAGGCGGCUUUCUGGACUGUAACUGACACUGAGGCAUGAAAGCGUGGGUAGCAAACAGGAUUAGAUACCCUGGUAGUCCACGCCGUAAAC